UACGUAGGGUGCAAGCGUUGUCCGGAAUUAUUGGGCGUAAAGAGCUCGUAGGCGGUUUGUCGCGUCGACUGUGAAAACCUACAGCUUAACUGUGGGCUUGCAGUCGAUACGGGCAGACUUGAGUUCGGCAGGGGAGAACGGAAUUCCCGGUGUAGCGGUGAAAUGCGCAGAUAUCGGGAGGAACACCGGUGGCGAAGGCGGCUCUCUGGGACGGUACUGACGCUGAGACGCGAAAGCGUGGGGAGCGAACAGG
rnacentral:rRNA from 1 species